rnacentral:tRNA from 1 species
UCCCCGGUAGCUCAACGGUAGAGCAGUGGGCUGUUAACCCAUGUGUUGCAGGUUCGAAUCCUGCCCGGGGAGCUA